rnacentral:rRNA from 1 species
AGCGAACGCUGGCGGCAGGCCUAACACAUGCAAGUCGAACGGAUCCUUCGGGAUUAGUGGCGGACGGGCGAGUAACACGUGGGAACGUGCCCUUUGGUUCGGAACAACUCAGGGAAACUUGAGCUAAUACCGGAUGUGCCCUUCGGGGGAAAGAUUUAUCGCCAUUGGAGCGGCCCGCGUCUGAUUAGCUAGUUGGUGAGGUAACGGCCCACCAAGGCGACGAUCAGUAGCUGGUCUGAGAGGAUGAUCAGCCACACUGGGACUGAGACACGGCCCAGACUCCUACGGGAGGCAGCAGUGGGGAAUCUUGCGCAAUGGGCGAAAGCCUGACGCAGCCAUGCCGCGUGAAUGAUGAAGGUCUUAGGAUUGUAAAAUUCUUUCAGCGGGGACGAUAAUGACGGUACCCGCAGAAGAAGCUCCGGCUAACUUCGUG